UACGUAGGGUGCGAGCGUUAAUCGGAAUUACUGGGCGUAAAGUGUGCGCAGGCGGCUUCGCAAGUCGAGUGUGAAAUCCCCGAGCUUAACUUGGGAAUUGCGCUCGAAACUACGGAGCUGGAGUGUGGCAGAGGAAGGUGGAAUUCCACGUGUAGCGGUGAAAUGCGUAGAGAUGUGGAGGAAGACCAGUGGCGAAGGCGGGUCUCUGGACAGUUCCUGACACUGAGACACGAAGGCCAGGGGAGCAAACGGG
rnacentral:rRNA from 1 species